GUACUUACCUGGCAGGGGAGAUACCAUGAUCACGAAGGUGGUUUUCCCAGGGCGAGGCUUAUCCAUUGCACUCCGGAUGUGCUGACCCCUGCGAUUUCCCCAAAUGUGGGAAACUCGACUGCAUAAUUUGUGGUAGUGGGGGACUGAAAGAAUAAAAAAAAAAAAUUAUCUCUUUCAGAAACACCCUCA
rnacentral:snRNA from 1 species